rnacentral:sRNA from 1 species
AAGAGGCUCCCUAGCGGGCGUUUCCUCCCUGACUGGCGGGCCACUCCUUUUUGGACUGGCCCGCAUUUUUGCGGCAG